rnacentral:rRNA from 1 species
GAUGAACGCUGGCGGCGUGCCUAAUACAUGCAAGUCGAACGAGGUGCUUUUGUAGCAAUACGAGAGUAUCCUAGUGGCGAACGGGUGAGUAACGCGUUGGUGACCUGCCCCAAAGUGUGGGAUAACAGUCCGAAAGGAUUGCUAAUACCGCAUGUGGUCAUUGGAUCUAGAAACCGAUGACUAAAGCAGUAAUGCGCUUUGGGAGGGACCUGCGUCCCACCAGCUAGUUGGUGAGGUAACGGCUCACCAAGGCGACGACGGGUAGGGGACCUGAGAGGGUGGCCCCCCACAAUGGAACUGAAACACGGUCCAUACACCUACGGGUGGCAGCAGUAGGGAAUAUUGCUCAAUGGGCGAAAGCCUGAAGCAGCAACGCCGCGUGCGCGAUGAAGGUCUUCGGAUCGUAAAGCGCUUUUCUGCGAGAUGAGAAAGGACAGUAUCGUAGGAAUAAGUCUCGGCUAACUACGUGCCAGCAGCCGCGGUAACAC